GAGUCAAGGAAGGCACCUUCGCCGCCUGCUGCUUCCGCCUCUAGAGGCUCCAUCAACGACAUCUUCAUCUUCGAGAAGCUCGCCGCCGAGCUCACGCGCUACAGAAAGAAGCCCACCGUCACCUCCCGCAAGCUCCAGACCUCGGUGCGCCUCGUCCUCCCCGGGUGCUCGCCAAGCACGCCGUCACCGAGGGCACUGAGCUGAGGCUGUCAGUCGCUCCUCACCAGCUUCAGGUGCAUUGUGGAAACUGGAGAAUGGGUAAGAAGCUAUGAUCUAUCGACUGGCAUGAGCAGUUCUCUAGUGCUACUCUGGAGCUUCAAAUCCUGUCGUCUGUGGAUCAUGUUCCACCAGCUUGUUUGCUGGUUACUCUUCUGAUAUCAACUGCAUGGAGGCUUCUCUUUCUGGUUCCGUCUUCCAUUACUGGCAAACCACACUUAAGAAGACCAAAUAGCUUGCAAGGACUGUACCAUCAAUGGUGGACUACUGGACUUCAUCUGGUGUUUCAGUUGGAUCAUAUUGAGUAAACCCAGUGACGGGAUUUGAAUCUAUAAAACCUAUAUAGUUGAUCCCCACUAGAGAUUUCUCUCAACAUGCAAGCUUUCCACCUCAGCAGUGCACUAUCACAUGCAAUUAAAACCCACUACACUAGCAUUUUGUUAUCCACAUAAAAAUGUCAUGCAAUCCAUUAGCAUUAAUUUAUAAUAAUUUAUUCAUUUAUAAAAGUAAUUGGAAUAUAUAUAAUUACUUCAUUCAGCCACGUCAACAUGUGCAUCACUAUUGGGUUUCAUAAGGAUUUAUUACUAUUAUCUAUUCUCUGAAUCAGUGACAUCACCUUCAUUAUUGUAACCAUUCAAUCAACUUCGUGCACGUCUUAUAUCCAUUAAAUGCAUGUCUUAUUGGUUUCUUCUCUAACCAAAGAAUAACUCAAAAAUCUAUUAUUUUUCAUCCAAGAGAUUCCUCAUAUGGUUUUCAAUGUAAUCUCUACAAAUGCACCAAUUAUACAAGGUUUUCUUUAUUAAAAAAAAUCUAUCAUUUUUUGUUUUUUACAAAUUCAAUCUAAGUACUUAUUUGUCUUAUUACAUGCUCUCCAUAGCGUUUUAUUUAAAGAAUUAUUAAUUUUUAAUCAUAGUUUAUCGAAAAACUCCCUCAAAUACGGCAACAACGCGCGAGGAAUCACCUAGUAUUUAUAGAUUCCCAUGUCUCCUAGUGCGUUCAUUUGACCUCCAUAUAUUGCCUGCAUUGUUAUUGUAUUGACGAAAUUUCUGCGGUAACUUCGGUUUUGUUAGUUUCAAAGAUGAAAGUAUUAAGUGCAUGCAUAGAAUAUGUUAUAUGUGGUGAUAUGAAACUUUUAUUAGCUGCUAUUUGUCAUGAUUGACAUCUUCAUUUAGUUGUUGGAUGCAAUAUUUCUGGUGCUGGUGCAUGCAGUUGUGCCUUAUUUGAGUUGGUAGCUGUAGUGUGGCUAUGAGUCUGGUGAGCUUUGAGAACCGAGUUCUUACAGCGAAACCCAGCCUGUCUAAUCUUGAGAACGUGCAGUAAGGUGUAAGGUGUAAGCUGUAUAAUGUAAUGGUACGCCCUACUGCUGUUAAACAUUUCAUAUUUAAGGUAUCCACCUUUUAGGGCGUCAAGACCAUUAGAGUUCACUUCCUGUUAGGUCGGUAGUAGUAGUUUGGCAAUUUGGUGUUUGUCAGAGUUUGUUUUGAUAUGAGUUGUGAUGGUGCCUGUUGAACUAUUUUCACUCAUGGAUCUGAAAUAUUAACUGCUUUAUUCUACAUGUGUGCUGAGUAUUUUUCCUUAAUUCUAUUGUACUAUUUAGUGAAACUCAUUAGUGUUUUGUAAAAAUUAGUGCAUGAAGCUAAUUACCUUUUUUUUAAUGCAGAAUGGCCAUUGUUGUUGUGUUCUAUCGUGGAGCUUCAAAUAUAAUUCCUAGUUAUAUUUGUAACCUUUUGGGGAAGAUGCGGAAUACACCACAGAGGAAGCGUGAGGAAGCGUAUAUAUCCAGCAGUGGCCAUAUGGGCCUAGAGUAUAUGGGCCUUAACACCCCCCUUCAAACUCAAGGUGGAAGUGGAGGAUCUGAAGCAUUGAGUUUGAGCAAGUGAAGCCGGUGUUGCUCUUGAGUUUGUGCUUUAGUAAAGAAAUCUGCCACUUGCAAUUCUGAAGGCACGUACUGAAGAGCAAUUGUAUUUUGCUGACAAUGUGAUCGAGUAAAGAAGGCAUCAACACCAAUAUGUUUUUGAUCAUCUGCAGGCAUCUAGCCCAAUUUCAGCUCUUUAUUCAUCGUUGCACAAAUCACUACAGACUUGUUGCUACUCAUCUACGUUCCACCAUAUGAGAUCCGACAAACUUAAGAUGCAUUUGCCUGGAGGAUGAAACCCCUAAGUACAGCAAAAUGAAAUCCAGAUACAGCAAAAAUUGACUCAGCUGUACUGCUAUUCUGGAGCUUCAAAUUCUGAUAUCCAUGGAUCAUGUUCCGCCAGCUUGGGAUCAUAUUCCACCAGCUUGUUUGCUGGUUACUUUUCUGAAUGUCAACUGCAUAGAGGCUUCUCUCUCUUUCCACCUUCCAUUACUGGCACACUACACUUAAAAAAUCCAAAUAGCUUGCAAGCAAUGGUAGACUUCAUCUGGUGUGUCACUUGGAGCACAUUGAGUAAAACCAGUGACAGGGUUUGAAUAUCGCAAAAACCAUGUCUCACAGUGUAAUCGUUGUAUUGUAUUCACCUGGCUUGCCAGGUUGUCAUAUUUGAACUCCAGAUAUUGUCUGCUUUGUUAUUGUCUUAUUGACGAAAUUUCUCCGGUAACUUUGGUUUUGGUUUGUUCAAGAUGAAAGUUAAGCGGCUGCAUGGAAUAUUUAUAUGUGGUCAUAUGAAACUAUUAGCAGCUAUUUGUCAUGAUUGUUAGUUGUUGGAUGCACAAUUUUUGGUGCUGGUGCUUGCAGUUGUGCCUCAUUUGAGUUGGUAGCUGUACUGCUGUAGUGUUGCUGAGUCUGAUGAGGUUUGAGAUCUGAGUUCAUACAGAGGAACCUGGCCUAUCUAAUCUUGACAAUGUGCAGUAAGGCGUAAGCUAUAUAUGGUAAUGGUACGCCUGCUCCUCUUUAACAUUUCAUAUUUAAGCUACUCACUUUCGAGGGCCCCCAAGACCAUUAGAGUUCACUUCCUGUUAGGUCGGUAAUAGUAGUUUGGCAAUUGGGUGUUUGCCAGAGUUGGAUUUUGAGAUGAGUUGUGGUGGUGCCUCUUGAACUAUGUUUACUCAUGGAUCUGAAAUAUUAACUGCUUUAUUCUA